AUACGGAGGAUCCGAGCGUUAUCCGGAUUUAUUGGGUUUAAAGGGUGCGUAGGCGGCCUUUUAAGUCAGCGGUGAAAGUCUGUGGCUCAACCAUAGAAUUGCCGUUGAAACUGGGGGGCUUGAGUAUGUUUGAGGCAGGCGGAAUGCGUGGUGUAGCGGUGAAAUGCUUAGAUAUCACGCAGAACCCCGAUUGCGAAGGCAGCGUGCAAAGCCACGACUGACGCUGAUGCACGAAAGCGUGGGGAUCAAACAGGAUUAGAUACCCUGGUAGUCCACGCAGUAAACGAUGAUCACUAGCUGUUUGCGAUACACUGUAAGCGGCACAGCGAAAGCGUUAAGUGAUCCACCUGGGGAGUACGCCGGCAACGGUGAAACUUAAAGGAAUUGACGGGG
rnacentral:rRNA from 1 species